CUCCUUCUCCCACUUCUGGGCGGCGGCGAAGAACCCUAGAUCCAGAAAUCCAGAGACAUUUGAGUGGUGGGAGGGCAAGGUUGGGGGCGACCCUCGCUCGUUCGCGGCGGUCGCAGCUACCCCGCCCAUGGCGAACGAUGCGGGACGCGGAUUCCAGGGAGAGGGACGCGGAGGUGGCGGCGGUGGCCGCUCGGAUCGCGGAGGAGGGCGCCAUGGCGGCCGGGGCAGCGCCCGCGGAGGAGACCACAGCAAGUUCUCAUGGCGGCGCGAAGAUGGAGGCAACCACUCCAAGAACGCCUCCGCCAUAAUCCAGCCGGGGUCAGGAGACACCUCGCGCUGAGAUGAGGCGGCGGGUGCUGGUCGCCAUGAGUCCCAGGAGGGUGGGAUCUGGGUGCAGAAGACCCAGGCCUCGUCGGGCUCAGGUGACACCACUGCUGGACGCCAGGCUGCGUCUUCUCCUCGUCAGGUUCAGGGAAGAAGAAACCCUACCCAGAUACCUCCUCCUAAGAAACUUGAUGCCUGUCCUAUUUGCAAAUCUCAUGAGCAUCCACCUACUCGAUGCCCUUAGGCUUAUUGUGAGAGAUGUAGUAAGCUAGGCCAUCUGACAUCUGUGUGUGUGGAAUUUCUUCCUUGGGAGUGUAUGGCAUCUAUGUGCGCAUUUCAAUCUAAGGGGAAGGGGUUUUACUACAUUCAUGAUCCUUGUACUGCUAAUCAGAUUAAGGAGAGGGCCAAUAACAUUGUUGUCACUAUAAUGGAAGGGGAAACCUCCACUCGUCAAAUGGAACUAGAUUUAAAUGCUUAUCUUGCUACUGGAUGGAGAUGCUCUGCUCAUGCAAUAGGACCGGGGUGUUUGUUGUUCGUUUCCCUAAUCCUCGUGCAGUUGCACAGAUUUGCUAUGUUGGAAAAGUCACCUUAAAAACCAGUGGGGCUGUGAUCCAUGCUACACGCUGGUCCUCUACAAUUGGGGCUAAGGGGAUGAUGGAAAUGGCAUGGAUUAAAGUGAGCAAUGUUCCUCUAGAUAAAAGAAGUGAAAGAAAUCUAGCAUUUGUAGCCUCUCUGGCCGGGGUCCCUCUGGAAAUCGACGCAGCUACCCUACAUCGCCCUGCCUCUGCCCGGGUUAGGAUAGGGUGCAGAAAUGUUGAUGAGAUCCCUGUUGUAGCGAAAGCUGUACUGGGAGAUCAUUUCUAUAAAUUUUACUAUGAGGUGGACCAGAUCCUGGUGAGAGACCCAAAAAGGGAGAAAGAGAAGGUGCAAGCCCCUACUAAUCCUGAUACGAACAGUACUGAAAGAAGAAAUGUUCCCUCUAUGGCUCCUGGAGCUCAGAAAGCUGACAUAUCACAUGGGCUUGGAGGGAAAUCUCCCUAAAUUCCCCAUGGAGAUAAAUCAGACCCAAUCCGGGAGUCUCAAGAGAGUACUGAUUCAGAUGAUUCGCUGCACAACACUCUCCUCAUUGACACCAUGGCCUUUGAGAUGGCUCAGUAGGUGGGUGGUGUUACUGCUUGCUGUGAUGGUGCGAUAAUCACUAAUGAGUACAGAGUUGAAUUGCCCGAGGGUGAAAUGGAGAACGAAGUGCCGGCUUCUCCUCCGCUGGUAACUGAAGAAAAUCUUCGCUUUAGCCUGCGCAACGCCCAGAACAAGAUGGAGAGGGUGGAUGAAAGAGCUAUAGCAGUAGCUAAAAAACGAGACCUGGAAGGUAUAUCACACAACCUUAACUCUUUUGAUGCUUUGUCUGAUCCUGAACUUAUUCUCAGAGCUGUUAAAAUGGGUAUUAAUAUACCUGACACUGAUUUUACUAGUGUGGAUAUCCUUCGAGAGCUUGAGAAUUGUAGAAAUAUGGAAAAAAAAUGUGGACAAUGUUGAUAUACAUGAUGCUGUUAGUAAUAAAAUGAUUCUUACUAACGGAAAAGGGGAUCAGACACCUCUAAAUAUGAGAUGGGAAGAGGAGAAUGAGGUGGAUGAGGAAAAAUUUACGGUGGUGCAGUCUAGGAAGAAGAGGGAGAGAAAACCUAAUGUGAUUAUAGCUAGACCGGUCACCAGAAGUCAAAAAAAUAGGAUAACCUUGCAGAAUGAUGCUGGAAGCUCUACUCAGCCUCCUAAUAGUGCUUUCAGCAAAAAAGGGAGAAAAAGGAAAAAUGAACGUCCUAUUUUGGAAUUUUGGAGGGGCAGGAAAAAGAGGGAGGACUACCUGCUUCUCUGAUAUCAUUAAAGACCACUCCCUCGACUUUAUGGGCAUCCUAGAAACGAAGAAAGAUAGCUUUACUCCUAAAUAUCUUAGGAAAGUUGACCCCUUUGAAAGAUUUAGCUGGAACUGGAUUCCUUCCACUGGUAAAUCUGGUGGGAUCCUAUGUGGGAUCAAAAAAGAAACCUUGGAAAUUAUAUCUUGGGAGGCAGGGAAAUAUAUGCUACAGGCCACGGUCUCUGACACUAAGCUCAAGUGUAUCUGGACCCUUGUGGUGGUUUAUGGGGCAGCCCAAGAAGAUAAGAGAGACGAGUUCCUAGAUGAGCUUGCCUCGGUGUGUGGCAACAUAAAAAACCCCUAUAUUAUUGGCAGUGACUUUAAUAUCUUAAGGGAUGGUAGUGAUAAAAACAAGUCUCUCCAUAGGUCUCAUCAUAUGGACAGAUUUAACACUAUCAUCCAGAUGCUAAACCUUAGAGAGAUCCACAUGGGAGGAGGCAGAUUCACGUGGUCCAAUAAACAAAGACAUCCCACGCUCGAGAAACUCGACAGAGUACUCAUGAGCUUUGAUUGGGAAAGUUUAUUCCCACUGCAGGUUGCAGUACGUAAGCUAGUGAGAGAUAUUUCUGAUCAUAACCCGCUGUUGUUGAUGACUAACCCCCUGUAUAGGAGUCCCAUGCGCCAACAUGAGUUCAGAUUUGAGCUCAGUUGGCUUAAGAAGGAGGAUUUUUAUAAAAAAAGCUAAGAUAAUAUGGGAGCAACCUAUGCAAUCUGAGGACC